rnacentral:rRNA from 1 species
UACGUAGGUGGCAAGCGUUGUCCGGAAUUAUUGGGCGUAAAGCGCGCGCAGGCGGUCCUUUAAGUCUGAUGUGAAAGCCCACGGCUCAACCGUGGAGGGUCAUUGGAAACUGGGGGACUUGAGUGCAGGAGAGAAGAGUGGAAUUCCACGUGUAGCGGUGAAAUGCGUAGAGAUGUGGAGGAACACCAGUGGCGAAAGCGACUUCCUGGACCAAUACUGACGCUCAUGUGCGAAAGCGUGGGGAGCAAACAGG